GACGAACGCUGGCGGCGUGCUUAACACAUGCAAGUCGAACGGAAAGGCCCUGCUUUUGUUGGUUGCUCGAGUGGCGAACGGGUGAGUAACACGUGAGUAACCUGCCCUUGUCUUUGGGAUAACUUCAGGAAACUGGGGCUAAUACCGGAUAUGAGCUCCUGCUGCAUGUUGUGGGUUGGAAAGUUUCGGCGUUUGUGGCUGGACUCGCGGCUUAUCAGCUUGUUGGUGGGGUAGUUGCUUACCAAGGCUUUGACGGGUAGCCGGCCUGAGAGGGUGACCGGCCACAUUGGGACUGAGAGACGGAGCAGAAUCCUAAGGGAGGCAGUAGGGGGGAAUAUUGCACGAUGGGCGGAAGCGUGAUGCAGCAACGCCGCGUGCGGGAUGACGGCCUUCGAGGUGUAAACAGAUUUCGCAUGUAACGAAGAGUGAGUGACGGUAAUGGGUAAAGAAGCACCGGCUAACUACGUG
rnacentral:rRNA from 1 species